AUUGAACGCUGGCGGCAGGCCUAACACAUGCAAGUCGAGCGGAAACGAGUUAUCUGAACCUUCGGGGAACGAUAACGGCGUCGAGCGGCGGACGGGUGAGUAAUGCCUAGGAAAUUGCCCUGAUGUGGGGGAUAACCAUUGGAAACGAUGGCUAAUACCGCAUGAUGCCUACGGGCCAAAGAGGGGGACCUUCGGGCCUCUCGCGUCAGGAUAUGCCUAGGUGGGAUUAGCUAGUUGGUGAGGUAAGGGCUCACCAAGGCGACGAUCCCUAGCUGGUCUGAGAGGAUGAUCAGCCACACUGGAACUGAGACACGGUCCAGACUCCUACGGGAGGCAGCAGUGGGGAAUAUUGCACAAUGGGCGCAAGCCUGAUGCAGCCAUGCCGCGUGUAUGAAGAAGGCCUUCGGGUUGUAAAGUACUUUCAGUCGUGAGGAAGGUAGUGUAGUUAAUAGCUGCAUUAUUUGACGUUAGCGACAGAAGAAGCACCGGCUAACUCCGUGCCAGCAGCCGCGGUAAUACGGAGGGUGCGAGCGUUAAUCGGAAUUACUGGGCGUAAAGCGCAUGCAGGUGGUUUGUUAAGUCAGAUGUGAAAGCCCGGGGCUCAACCUCGGAAUAGCAUUUGAAACUGGCAGACUAGAGUACUGUAGAGGGGGGUAGAAUUUCAGGUGUAGCGGUGAAAUGCGUAGAGAUCUGAAGGAAUACCGGUGGCGAAGGCGGCCCCCUGGACAGAUACUGACACUCAGAUGCGAAAGCGUGGGGAGCAAACAGG
rnacentral:rRNA from 1 species